rnacentral:rRNA from 1 species
AGUGAACGCUGGCGGUAGGCCUAACACAUGCAAGUCGAACGGCAGCACAGUAAGAGCUUGCUCUUACGGGUGGCGAGUGGCGGACGGGUGAGGAAUACAUCGGCAUCUACUUUUUCGUGGGGGAUAACGUAGGGAAACUUACGCUAAUACCGCAUACGACCUACGGGUGAAAGCAGGGGAUCUUCGGACCUUGCGCGUUUGAAUGAGCCGAUGUCGGAUUAGCUAGUUGGCGGGGUAAAGGCCCACCAAGGCGACGAUCCGUAGCUGGUCUGAGAGGAUGAUCAGCCACACUGGAACUGAGACACGGUCCAGACUCCUACGGGAGGCAGCAGUGGGGAAUAUUGGACAAUGGGCGCAAGCCUGAUCCAGCCAUACCGCGUGGGUGAAGAAGGCCUUCGGGUUGUAAAGCCCUUUUGUUGGGAAAGAAAAGCAGCAGGUUAAUACCCCGCUGUUCUGACGGUACCCAAAGAAUAAGCACCGGCUAACUUCGUG